UACGGGGGAUGCAAGCGUUAUCCGGAAUCAUUGGGCGUAAAGCGCCUGCAGGUUGUUUACUAAGUCUGUUGUUAAAGACUAGGGCUUAACCCUAGAAAAGCAAUGGAAACUUGUAGACUAGAGUAUGGCAGGGGUAGAGGGAAUUUCUAGUGUAGCGGUGAAAUGCGUAGAUAUUAGAAAGAACACCAGUGGCGAAAGCGCUCUACUGGAUCAUUACUGACACUCAGAGGCGAAAGCUAGGGUAGCAAAAGGGAUUAGAUACCCCUGUAGUCCUAGCCGUAAACGAUGGAUACUACAUGUUGCGUUUUUAAUGCAGUAUGGUAGCUAACGCGUUAAGUAUCCCGCCUGGGGAGUACGGUCGCAAGGCUG
rnacentral:rRNA from 1 species